rnacentral:rRNA from 1 species
AGGACGAACGCUGGCGGCGCGCUUAACACAUGCAAGUCGAACGUGAAGCCGGAGCUUGCUCCGGUGGAAAGUGGCGAACGGGUGCGUAACACGUGAGCAACCUGCCCCGAAGACUGGGAUAACACCGGGAAACCGGUGCUAAUACCGGAUACCUUCUUCCGAUCGCAUGGUUGGAUGAAGAAAUGGAUUCCGCUUCGGGAUGGGCUCGCGGCCUAUCAGCUUGUUGGUGAGGUAACGGCCCACCAAGGCGACGACGGGUAGCUGGUCUGAGAGGACGACCAGCCACACUGGGACUGAGACACGGCCCAGACUCCUACGGGAGGCAGCAGUGGGGAAUCUUGCUCAAUGGGCGAAAGCCUGAAGCAGCGACGCCGCGUGCGGGAUGAAGGCCCUCGGGUUGUAAACCGCUUUCAGCAGGGACGAAAUUGACGGUACCUGCAGAAGAAGGCCCGGCCAACUACGUGCCAGCAGCCGC